CGUGUAGGCGGCCUUUUAAGUCAGGCGUGAAAUCCAUGGGCUUAACCCAUGAAUUGCGUUUGAAACUGGAGGGCUUGAGGAUCGGAGAGGGCAGUGGAAUUCCCAGUGUAGCGGUGAAAUGCGUAGAUAUUGGGAGGAACACCAGUGGCGAAGGCGACUGCCUGGACGACACCUGACGCUGAGGCGCGAAAGCUAGGGGAGCAAACGGGAUUAGAUACCCCGGUAGUCCUAGCCGUAAACGAUGGGUACUAGGUAUGGGAGGUAUCGACCCCUUCCGUGCCGCAGUUAACACAAUAAGUACCCCGCCUGGGGAGUACGGCCGCAAGGUUGAA
rnacentral:rRNA from 1 species